rnacentral:rRNA from 1 species
AUGGAGGUGCAGGCCCAAGUACUUCGAAUCAUCAACAAGAAAUCCAAUAAAGAACAGCGAAGGAAAAACGUGACAAGAAAAGUGUUUUCUCGACUCGAGAUGUUAGAAGGUGCUAAAUCAAUAGGUGUUGGAGCUGCUACAAUUGCUUUAGCCGGAGCUGCUGUCGGUAUUGGAAACGUCCUCAGUUCUUUGAUUCAUUCCAUGGCGCGAAAUCCAUCAUUGGCUAAACAAUCAUUUGGUUAUGCCAUUUUGGGCUUUGCUCUCACCGAAGCUAUUGCAUUGUUUGCCCCAAUGAUGGCCUUUCUGAUCUCAUUCCUUUUCCGAUCGCAUAAAAAGUCAUGA